rnacentral:tRNA from 1 species
GNAAUUAACCACCCCUCAAUGA